CCUACGGGUGGCAGCAGUGGGGAAUAUUGGACAAUGGGCGAAAGCCUGAUCCAGCCAUGCCGCGUGUGUGAAGAAGGCCUUCGGGUUGUAAAGCACUUUCAGUGGGGAAGAAAGCCUUGGGGCUAAUACCCUCGAGGAAGGACAUCACCCACAGAAGAAGCACCUGCUAACUCCGUGCCAGCAGCCGCGGUAAUACGGAGGGUGCGAGCGUUAAUCGGAAUUACUGGGCGUAAAGCGCGCGUAGGCGGUCUGAUAAGCCGGUUGUGAAAGCCCCGGGCUCAACCUGGGAACGGCAUCCGGAACUGUCAGGCUAGAGUGCAGGAGAGGAAGGUAGAAUUCCCGGUGUAGCGGUGAAAUGCGUAGAGAUCGGGAGGAAUACCAGUGGCGAAGGCGGCCUUCUGGACUGACACUGACGCUGAGGUGCGAAAGCGUGGGUAGCAAACAGGAUUAGAUACCCGAGUAGUC
rnacentral:rRNA from 1 species